AAUGGGGGCAACCCUGAUCCAGCGACGCCGCGUGGAGGACGAAGGUCUUCGGAUUGUAAACUCCUUUUUGGGGGACAAAAUGACCUGGUGAAAAACCAGGAGUGAUUGGUACUCCAGAAUAAGCCACGGCUAACUCCGUGCCAGCAGCCGCGGUAAUACGAAGGUGGCAAGCGUUACUCGGAAUUACUAGGCGUAAAGCGCAGGUAGGCGGUUUGAUAAGUCUUUUGUGAAAGCUCCCGGCUUAACUGGGAGAGGUCAAAGGAAACUGUCAGGCUAGAGUGUGGUAGAGGAUGCUGGAAUUCCCGGUGUAGCGGUGAAAUGCGUAGAGAUCGGGAGGAAUACCUAUGGCGAAAGCAGGCAUCUGGGCCAUCACUGACGCUGAGCUGCGAAAGCUAGGGGAGCAAA
rnacentral:rRNA from 1 species